rnacentral:rRNA from 1 species
CUGGCUCAGAGCGAACGCUGGCGGCAGGCUUGACACAUGCAAGUCGAGCGGGCGUAGCAAUACGUCAGCGGCAGACGGGUGAGUAACGCGUGGGAACGUACCUUUUGGUUCGGAACAACACAGGGAAACUUGUGCUAAUACCGGAUAAGCCCUUACGGGGAAAGAUUUAUCGCCGAAAGAUCGGCCCGCGUCUGAUUAGCUAGUUGGUGAGGUAACGGCUCACCAAGGCGACGAUCAGUAGCUGGUCUGAGAGGAUGAUCAGCCACAUUGGGACUGAGACACGGCCCAAACUCCUACGGGAGGCAGCAGUGGGGAAUAUUGGACAAUGGGCGCAAGCCUGAUCCCAGCCAUGCCGCGUGAGUGAUGAAGGCCCUAGGGUUGUAAAGCUCUUUUGUGCGGGAAGAUAAUGACGGUACCGCAAGAAUAAGCCCCGGCUAACUUCGUGCCAGCCGCCGC